rnacentral:rRNA from 1 species
CGCGGGAAAUCUUACCAGGGUCCGGACACACUGAGGAUUGACAGGAAGUAUCGUCUUUUGAAAUCUUUAAGACAUGUCGUUUCUAAUGACAUCUUUUAGAUGAAUGAUUCGUGUAAAUAUGCUAGUUCUUUCAUGAUUAUGUGAUAGGUGGUGCAUGGCCGUUCUUAGUUCGUGGAGUGAUCUGUCUGCUUAAUUGCGUUUCACUAUGGCCCCAAAGUUAGCAAGUUAUCCAAUCAUGACCUUCGUCGACCCCUCACCUUUGAGUGCGCGUCCUAGCUUAGAGUACAUGGUGUAAAUGGACUUGUUUUGGGUACCCAGAAAGCAACGAACGUGACCGCAACGUCUUGUUGUCUCUCUUUUGACAGUUAUGGGUUAUCCCAGUCAUGUGUUUAUACUUUUAUGUGUAAAUACGUACGACACAGAGACUAGAUACCAAACUAGGCGUACCGCUGUAUCAUUUCUUUAAACCAGAGGAAGGUUGCGGCAAUAACAGGUCUGUGAUGCAC